ACUCUAAGCGGUGGAUCACUCGGCUCAUGGGUCGAUGAAGAACGCAGCAAACUGUGCGUCAUCGUGUGAACUGCAGGACACAUGAACAUCGACAUUUUGAACGCAUAUCGCAGUCCAUGCUGUUAUGUACUUUAAUUAAUUUUAUAGUGCUGCUUGGACUACAUAUGGUUGAGGGUUGUAAGACUAUGCUAAUUAAGUUGCUUAUAAAUUUUUAUAAGCAUAUGGUAUAUUAUUGGAUAAAUAUAAUAAUUUUUAUUCAUAAUAUUAAAAAAUAAAUGAAAAACAUUAUCUCACAUUUGAAUGUGAAAAACGAAGAGAAAUAUUUCUUUUUCAAUCAAAUAAUACUGAGAAAUGUCUAGCAUAAAAAAUUGAAAUAUUUUUCAUCUAGAAUUGUCUCUUAUUAAUGAUUCGGAAAUAGAAAAAUCUUGGUUAUGUUAUUAUUCUUCGUUGGUUCGUUAAAAAUGGAUAAAUAAAAACUUUGCAUACAAGAAUUAAUAAAAAUGUUAUAACGAAUUUAAUUAAAUGUUUUAUCAUUAUAUAUAAAGAAUUUAUGGCAAGAUAAAGUUAUAUACAACCUCAACUCAUAUGGGACUACCCCCUGAAUUUAAGCAUAUUAAUUAGGGAGGAAAAGAAACUAACAAGGAUUUUCUUAGUAGCGGCGAGCGAAAAGAAAACAGUUCAGCACUAAGUCACUUUGUCUAUAUGGCAAAUGUGAGAUGCAGUGUAUGGAGCGUCAAUAUUCUAGUAUGAGAAAUUAACGAUUUAAGUCCUUCUUAAAUGAGGCCAUUUACCCAUAGAGGGUGCCAGGCCCGUAUAACGUUAAUGAUUACUAGAUGAUGUUUCCAAAGAGUCGUGUUGCUUGAUAGUGCAGCACUAAGUGGGUGGUAAACUCCAUCUAAAACUAAAUAUAACCAUGAGACCGAUAGUAAACAAGUACCGUGAGGGAAAGUUGAAAAGAACUCUGAAUAGAGAGUUAAACAGUACGUGAAACUGCUUAGAGGUUAAGCCCGAUGAACCUGAAUAUCCGUUAUGGAAAAUUCAUCAUUAAAAUUGUAAUAUUUAAAUAAUAUUAUGAGAAUAGUGUGCAUUUUUUCCAUAUAAGGACAUUGUAAUCUAUUAGCAUAUACCAAAUUUAUCAUAAAAUAUAACUUAUAGUUUAUUCCAAUUAAAUUGCUUGCAUUUUAACACAGAAUAAAUGUUAUUAAUUUGAUAAAGUGCUGAUAGAUUUAUAUGAUUACAGUGCGUUAAUUUUUCGGAAUUAUAUAAUGGCAUAAUUAUCAUUGAUUUUUGUGUUUAUUAUAUGCACUUGUAUGAUUAACAAUGCGAAAGAUUCAGGAUACCUUCGGGACCCGUCUUGAAACACGGACCAAGGAGUCUAACAUAUGUGCAAGUUAUUGGGAUAUAAACCUAAUAGCGUAAUUAACUUGACUAAUAAUGGGAUUAGUUUUUUAGCUAUUUAUAGCUAAUUAACACAAUCCCGGGGCGUUCUAUAUAGUUAUGUAUAAUGUAUAUUUAUAUUAUUUAUGCCUCUAACUGGAACGUACCUUGAGCAUAUAUGCUGUGACCCGAAAGAUGGUGAACUAUACUUGAUCAGGUUGAAGUCAGGGGAAACCCUGAUGGAAGACCGAAACAGUUCUGACGUGCAAAUCGAUUGUCAGAAUUGAGUAUAGGGGCGAAAGACCAAUCGAACCAUCUAGUAGCUGGUUCCUUCCGAAGUUUCCCUCAGGAUAGCUGGUGCAUUUUAAUAUUAUAUAAAAUAAUCUUAUCUGGUAAAGCGAAUGAUUAGAGGCCUUAGGGUCGAAACGAUCUUAACCUAUUCUCAAACUUUAAAUGGGUAAGAACCUUAACUUUCUUGAUAUGAAGUUCAAGGUUAUGAUAUAAUGUGCCCAGUGGGCCACUUUUGGUAAGCAGAACUGGCGCUGUGGGAUGAACCAAACGUAAUGUUACGGUGCCCAAAUUAACAACUCAUGCAGAUACCAUGAAAGGCGUUGGUUGCUUAAAACAGCAGGACGGUGAUCAUGGAAGUCGAAAUCCGCUAAGGAGUGUGUAACAACUCACCUGCCGAAGCAACUAGCCCUUAAAAUGGAUGGCGCUUAAGUUGUAUACCUAUACAUUACCGCUAAAGUAGAUGAUUUAUAUUACUUGUGAUAUAAAUUUUGAAACUUUAGUGAGUAGGAAGGUACAAUGGUAUGCGUAGAAGUGUUUGGCGUAAGCCUGCAUGGAGCUGCCAUUGGUACAGAUCUUGGUGGUAGUAGCAAAUAAUCGAAUGAGACCUUGGAGGACUGAAGUGGAGAAGGGUUUCGUGUGAACAGUGGUUGAUCACGAGUUAGUCGGUCCUAAGUUCAAGGCGAAAGCCGAAAAUUUUCAAGUAAAACAAAAAUGCCUAACUAUAUAAACAAAGCGAAUUAUAAUACACUUGAAUAAUUUUGAACGAAAGGGAAUACGGUUCCAAUUCCGUAACCUGUUGAGUAUCCGUUUGUUAUUAAAUAUGGGCCUCGUGCUCAUCCUGGCAACAGGAACGACCAUAAAGAAGCCGUCGAGAGAUAUCGGAAGAGUUUUCUUUUCUGUUUUAUAGCCGUACUACCAUGGAAGUCUUUCGCAGAGAGAUAUGGUAGAUGGGCUAGAAGAGCAUGACAUAUACUGUUGUGUCGAUAUUUUCUCCUCGGACCUUGAAAAUUUAUGGUGGGGACACGCAAACUUCUCAACAGGCCGUACCAAUAUCCGCAGCUGGUCUCCAAGGUGAAGAGUCUCUAGUCGAUAGAAUAAUGUAGGUAAGGGAAGUCGGCAAAUUAGAUCCGUAACUUCGGGAUAAGGAUUGGCUCUGAAGAUUGAGAUAGUCGGGCUUGAUUGGGAAACAAUAACAUGGUUUAUGUGCUCGUUCUGGGUAAAUAGAGUUUCUAGCAUUUAUGUUAGUUACUUGUUCCCCGGAUAGUUUAGUUACGUAGCCAAUUGUGGAACUUUCUUGCUAAAAUUUUUAAGAAUACUAUUUGGGUUAAACCAAUUAGUUCUUAUUAAUUAUAACGAUUAUCAAUUAACAAUCAAUUCAGAACUGGCACGGACUUGGGGAAUCCGACUGUCUAAUUAAAACAAAGCAUUGUGAUGGCCCUAGCGGGUGUUGACACAAUGUGAUUUCUGCCCAGUGCUCUGAAUGUCAAAGUGAAGAAAUUCAAGUAAGCGCGGGUCAACGGCGGGAGUAACUAUGACUCUCUUAAGGUAGCCAAAUGCCUCGUCAUCUAAUUAGUGACGCGCAUGAAUGGAUUAACGAGAUUCCUACUGUCCCUAUCUACUAUCUAGCGAAACCACAGCCAAGGGAACGGGCUUGGAAUAAUUAGCGGGGAAAGAAGACCCUUUUGAGCUUGACUCUAAUCUGGCAGUGUAAGGAGACAUAAGAGGUGUAGAAUAAGUGGGAGAUAUUAGACCUCGGUUUGGUA
rnacentral:rRNA from 1 species